rnacentral:rRNA from 1 species
UACGUGGGGUGCGAGCGUUGUCCGGAAUUAUUGGGCGUAAAGAGCUCGUAGGCGGUGUGUCACGUCGGCCGUGAAAUCUCCACGCUUAACGUGGAGCGUGCGGUCGAUACGGGCAGACUUGAGUUCGGUAGGGGAGACUGGAAUUCCUGGUGUAGCGGUGAAAUGCGUAGAUAUCGGGAGGAACACCAGUGGCGAAGGCGACUACCUGGCCUGUUCUUGACGCUGAGGCGCGAAAGCUAGGGGAGCAAGCGGGGAUUAAGA